rnacentral:rRNA from 1 species
UACAGAGACUGCAAGCGUUUAUUCGGAUUCACUGGGCGUAAAGGGUGCGCAGGUGGCCAAGUGUGUUAGGCGUGAAAGCCCGGGGCUUAACCCCGGAAUUGCACCUAAAACUACUCGGCUAGAGCAUUGGAGAGGGGAGCAGAAUUCAUGGUGUAGCAGUGAAAUGCGUAGAUAUCAUGAGGAAUACCAGAGGCGAAGGCGGCUCCCUGGACAAUAGCUGACACUCAGGCACGGAAAGCGAUGGGGGAGCAAAAGGG